rnacentral:lncRNA from 1 species
UACCAAAAAAUAAAAUUUCAAAGAAGAAAAAAGAAUCAGCGCGAAAUAGCAGGAGGAGCAGAAUCAUCCAUGGCGGCAGACUGGUCUGAACUCCCAACUGAUCUUCUGAAUCUGAUAUCGGAAUGCAUUGACAACGAAAUCGAUCUUAUUCGCUUCCGAUCAAUUUGUUCCACAUGGCGCUCUUCCUCAAUCCCAAAUCACCAUACCAACAUUUUACCAUUCAAGUUCCCACUCCUUAAAUACGUCCGUAGUUCCGACUCUGUUUCCGACGACGACGUCUCCGAUUCCAUCGACGACUACGAAUUCUCUGAUUCCAUNNNNNNNNNNNNNNNNNNNNNNNNNNNNNNNNNNNNNNNNNNNNNNNNNNNNNNNNNNCGAUUCCAUCGACGACUAUGAAUUCUCUGAUUCCAUCAACAUCAACGACACUAAAUUUCCAUUUUCAUACCUCUCCAAACGCAGUCUCUUCCUUAUCAAACCACAACAACAACAACAACAAGAUCAAACCCUAAUUCUUCGUCCUUGGUUGGUACGAAUUACUCAAAACUCAACCGGCAAAACCAAAAUCUUCCAANNNNNNNNNNNNNNNNNNNNNNNNNNNNNNNNNNNNNNNNNNNNNNNNNNNUGACUUCAACGAACUCUCCGUCCUUCAUAUAGGAACCAAUUUCUUCAUCGAUAACGACGACUUCACAUUCCCCGAUCAAUGCUAUGACUACUUGAACCCUGAUACGGUCCUUGCUGUGACGUGCCAUGGGAAAAAACCUCUGGUACUCGCCGCAUUGUGUUUUGUUACCCACCGGCCGUUGCUUUUUCGUGGCCUUGACGAGAUUUGGACGCCGAUCUCGUUGUCAACUUUCUAUGGAGACAUCUGCGUGUUUAAAGGGCGGAUUUACGCAGUCAACUUAUUCGGCCGGACAGUUGUGGUAGGACCGGAGUCGAGCGUCCAGUUAGUCGCUCAACCUAUUGUUUCUGGUGUGACCCAAAAACUGCUGGUGGAGAGUGAGGGUAAGUUAUUGUUAGUGAACAUGUGUGAGUCUUAUCCCGAUUUCUUCGGUAUUGAUUUAUUUGAGCUUGAUGAGAAGGAGAAUAAGUGGGUGAGGUUGAUGGAUUUUGAUGAGAAGAAGAAUGAGUGGGUGAAGUUGAAGGAUAUAGGGGAUAGAGUUCUGUUCUUGGCGAGUGGAUGUUCGUUUUCUGCAUAUGCUUCGGAAUUGGGUCUUCCCAAAGGAAACUGUGUUGUCUUUUUUGACGAUUCUGUCGUCUGUUGUGGCAAUUUGAGAUGUGGGAACUGUGUUUUUCACUUGGAUCAAGAUCGACUUUCCCCUGCGUCAGAAUAUCCGGAAUAUUUGAACAUGUUCCAGCCACCUGAGUGGAUCCUCAAAAGCUAAAUUUGUAACAUGGUAUGUUAUCUUGUAUUGUAUUGAAAGGUUUCUAAUGUGAUAGUGCAUUAUUGUGCUCAAUUUAUGUUGUUAGAUUGGAUAAACUUUUUGACUAAUACAUUUACUAUAAGUAUCUACACUACUGAUUUUUCAGGGCAUUCAUUUUUUAUAAAUGCAGCUAGCUAUUACAUUGGAAAAUAUGUAAUACAUCACCAUGUCAAGUUUUAUUAUUGUUAUGAUGUUUCUAUACUAAAGUAACAAUGUUGACAGGCUUCAUUGUCUUCUUUUAUUGUUACUUUUGAAGACUAUAUGUUUACCAACAAACUCCUAAUUCCUAAUUACAUGUUCAUAUGAAAUGAUGCUGAAAAAUGAGGUGGAAUUUGAGUUGACUGAUAAGUGUUCCGGCGGAUUUACUUCUUAAGCAAUUUGUGAUUAUUCAAGGUUUGUUAUGUUAUUUUGAUUUUAUUUUAUGGUGACAACUUGCAUUAUUAGCGUUGUAUGUAAAGUUGAAACCUAAUUGGUAAGUUACACUUGUAUCUCAAGUCUCAACAAAUUUUACCUUCUCUGGUGUUUUGGGAUUUUAAUGCCAAUGUUACAUUAUUAGAUACAAAUAAUUAUAAGACCUUUGGUUCUUUCUCCAGUACAAUCUUUCUAUCAAAUGACCUAAAACUGUGAGUACUGAAUGGCUAUUAACUCUUCCCUAUUUUUAAAAGGCCAUUAUAAACUUGGAUUGGGUGUACAGUACACCGUGUACUGCUCCGUUGUUUACCAAACCUUUUGUCUUUAUUUAAGAGAGAUAGUUUAGGAAUAUAACUAAUCCUUUCGCAGUGUUUGAAAUCCAAUUUAUCGAUCUGUUGUCUUAAAGUGCCCUAUGUGUUUUACUUGCCUUGUUACCUAAUUAUGACAGAAAACUCUUUGGUUUCUUGCUUGCUUUUUUUCUAUAAAUAACACAUAUAAUUAAGACUUACUUGAUCUGUCUGCUUUUCUUGUUUACUUAUAUUAGGUAUUGAAUAUUGAUAGUUCACCCUUUUUAUUUGUAGCUAUUUUGAGAUAUUCUUCGUUGUGCAUUCAUAGGGUUUUUGGUAUUAUGGGGUGUCCAAGUCUCACAUUGAGUGGCAUGAGAUGCUUGAUGGAGUAAUUAAGUGGUUUGGUUUGUUUUCCAUUGAUAGCUAGCUUUUAAUGUAGAGUUCCUUAAGUGCUUGAAUACUUAUCAUGCAUAAAUAAUAUACUAGAGAUAGAAAGAGAACGAGGGACACAACAUCUCUACUCGGAUCUUUUACUGGUAUGACCAGAAAAUCUGACAUUUAUAUUGCCGAAAUUAUUCAAAGAUUUUUAGUUGCCACUGCACGUAUUUUUCUGAUGGGUUUAUGAGUCUCUACUUUGGAAUAGACAUUGUGAAAAAUCAAGUUCUAAACAACUUAUCUAUGACUGGUUCUGACCUCUUUGUUUCUUGUUUACUCUUAGAUUAGGUUCUGAUAGUUUAUCCUUUUUAGUAGUAUAUGUAGCUAUUUGGAGGUUUUCUUCAUUGUGCAUUGUUAGGGAAUUGGCUAUUGGGUGGGAGUGCCAAAAUCUCACAUCACAUUGAAUUGCAUUGAAUGUUUAGUGGAGUAUUUGUGUGGCUUGGUUCUUUUCUCUUGAUAAGCCAGCUUUGAACAGAGGAUUCCUCAAGUGCUUGGAUACUGAUCUUGCAUGGAUCAUGCGUAAAUUUGCCUAGACAUUAUUUAUUAGGAUUUUGAACUGGUCUAACAAAAAGUCUUGUCAUUUUGAACUGGUCGUACGCACGGGUUUUACCCUAGUUUGUACUAAAAUAAAAUAAAAUAGAGAUCCAAAGAAUAAACUAAAUACUGUAUUAUUUUUUGUCCAAUCAAUAUUCAGUCGCAAACAAAUUAUAAAAAACAAUUAAAGCAUUUAUUUAGGUGUAUCAAUAAAAAAGUUGAGCUGAGUAAAAAAAAAAAAGGAAGUUGAGCAAUUCUGUCAAAAUUUAAAAGAUUAUUUAGCAAUAUUAUUGUCCCUAUGUACUUAACUGUAAUCGGUAGCAAUAUUAUUGUCUAGCAUUAGUUUUUGUAGUAAUAUUACCGUCAUUGAAAUACAACAAAUAUAUUUGUUAAGAUAUGCCAAAAUUAAAUAAUCAUUUAAAAAAUUGAAAAUUAAUAAAAAAAUAAAAUAAAUAGUUGACAUGUGAUAUAACUACUUAUUUUCAAGUAGUAUAAUUUUUAUUUUUUUUUCUUCAAAAAAAGUAAUAUAAAAUAAAAUAAAAGUUUGUUUCCAAAUAUCGAUUCAAUUUCUUUCUUUUUUUUGGAAUCAAUAUCGAUUCAAUUUCGUUACUAUUAUUUACUAGAUGUGUAUUGAAUGAUCGUAGAAAUUAACUACUUGAAAAAGUUUGUUUUUAGCUGUCUAGCAUUAGUUUUUGUUAGGGUCCUGUUUCNNNNNNNNNNNNNNNNNNNNNNNCUCCCUUACCGUUACUAAAGUUCAAAGAAGAGAAAAUAAAAGAGAAUGAGCGCGCGAAACGGCAAGAGGAGCAGAAUCAUAUCCACGGCGGCAAAUUGGUCUGAUCUGCCGAGGGAUCUUUUGUAUAUGAUAUCUCAACGCAUCGACAAUGAAAUCGAUCUCAUUCGCUUCCGAUCAAUUUGUUCCAAUUGGCGCUCUUCUUCAAUCCCAAUUCACCAUACCAACAUUUUACCUUUCAAGUUCCCACUCCUUAAAUAUGUUCUUAAUACCGAAUCUGAUUCAGAUGACGACUUCUCCGAUUGUAUCAACGACUACGAAUUCUCUGAUUCAAUGAAUAUCAAUGAUUCAAACUUUCCAUUUUUAUACCUCUCCAAACGCAGUAUCUUCCUCAUCAAACCACCACAACAACAACAACAAGAC